rnacentral:lncRNA from 1 species
GGGAUUUUUUCUUCAAAAGACAAAAACACUUUCUUCCCGCAAAGCUUCCCAUCAGUUGCUAUAAGACAUACCUGCAACAUUUACUAUCCCAAAAUACAAUAUAUUAACAAAGCAAAAGUAUUAAAGGUAGCUACCGGUUAUAGUACUAUAUAUUAAGCAGUGAAAGCAUGAACAUUUUUCUUAGGACUCCUUCUUCAUACUGUCCUCCCCCAUACUUAAACGCUUCAUC